rnacentral:rRNA from 1 species
UCGGGGUGCAGCAGGCGCGAAAACUUUACAAUGCCGGCAACGGCGAUAAGGGGACCUCGAGUGCCAGGUUACAAAUCUGGCUGUCGUGAUGCCUAAAAAGCAUUGCAUAGCAAGGGCCGGGCAAGACCGGUGCCAGCCGCCGCGGUAACACCGGCGGCUCGAGUGGUAACCGUUAUUAUUGGGUCUAAAGGGUCUGUAGCCGGCCGGAUAAGUCUCUUGGGAAAUCCAGCAGCUCAACUGUUGGGCUUUCAGGAGAUACUGUCUGGCUCGAGGCCGGGAGAGGUGAGAGGUACUUCAGGGGUAGGGGUGAAAUCUUGUAAUCCUUGAAGGACCACCAGUGGCGAAGGCGUCUCACCAGAACGGACCUGACGGCAAGGGACGAAAGCUAGGGGCACGAACCGGAUUAGAUACCCGGGUAGUCCUAGCCGUAAACGAUACUCGCUAGGUGUCGGCCACGGUGCGACCGUUGUCGGUGCCGUAGGGAAGCCGCGAAGCGAGCCACCUGGGAAGUACGGCCGCAAGGCUGAAACUUAAAGGAAUUGGCGGGGGAGCAC